rnacentral:lncRNA from 1 species
UCCCCUCCCAGCUAUGUCACUCCUAGAUGGAUGUCUCUCCCAGCCUCCAUCAGAAUUCAUGGUGUGGCUGUCUUGCCACGGACCUCGAGCAGGAGCAAAGCACGGGGCCCUGGUACCGGAGAUCGAACUCGGGAACUUGUGCUUGAGAAGCAGGCAGCAGAACCACAGAGCUAAAUCCCCGGCCCUUAUUAAUCACUUUUAAGAAGUGUGAUAUCCAACAACAAAGCCACACUAAACUACAUGAUAAGCAAAAUGGGUAUAUUAAAGGGACUAGGGUAGAGUAAGUAUCCUUCCACUAAAUGUUAUUGAGAAAUCUUCAGAAAGUCAGAAUGAAGACUGUAACCUUAUUAGAAAGGUUAAAAAGGGAAAGGGGACACCCCAAAACAGGCAAAGCGGUACACUAUAACACCAGGUUUUGAGCUGAGCAUGGUAGCACAUGCCUGCAAUCCCAGGACUCCGGGAAGCUGAGACAGGAGGAUCAUAAGUUCAAGCCCAGCCUAGGCAAUUUAGCAACUUAGUGAGACCCUGCCUCAAAAAAAAACAUAAAGCAUUAGGGAUGUAGCUCAGUACAAAGUCCCUGGUUCAAUCCCCCCUAUUUCAAUCAGUUAAUCAAUAAAGACUCUAACCUCGAAGCUGUAGGUUCCUACAAACUCAUUCUGUGCUGCCACCAGUUCUCCUUGGAGACUGACAAGAGAAGGCCCCCAUGGACUCUGCAGCAUGAGCACGGAGCUGAGGAGCCCAGCCAGCGUCCAGCCCCAGGAGGCUCAGGCUCAGCUCAGUGUGACUCAAAAGGGCCCUGGCUCCCGGCUCCCGGCUCUCUGAGAACACGUGCAUCCAGCUGAAGUGACAAGGCUGGCUGUGAGUGAGGUCCUCAUGCCCUGUUAACUCCAGGCCAGCUGUCGUGUAGAGAGGCCCCUCCCCUGAUAGGGAGCUCACUUCCCUGGGAGCUGGGCCAGGCCUACCCAGGGCCACAGGCCGAGAACAAAUCACAGCAGCUGCUGCUCCUCCAGCCUCUCCCCCUGAACCUGCAUCCCUGUGAGGGUGCUGUCCUUGGU